GAGAGUUUUACUGUGUGGCUGCAAAUAAUCUGGGUAAUCAGACGUCACCUGUGAUCAUUUUUGUUGUUGAAGUUAAACCAGUGUUUUGGUUCAGUCUUUAUGUUCCACUGAGGAUCCUGGGGAUUGUAACACUCUGCAGUUCAGUCGUCAUCUUCGAGUGCUGCUUUAGAUCAAGAUUCUUCAACAAACCAAAGAAGGCCUCAGAAGAAGCAGAUUAUAUCAACCAAGUGAUCGAGGUUCAAGCUUCUUGAGACUAAAGAAGACGAGGAUGUCCUCUGUCAAGAUUUGUUUUUUCUACCUGUGUCAUCAGUACUCUCUGCUCUCUCUUCAGUYCAGCAUUAUUUGUCCUCUCUGUUCACUCGUGGCUUUUGGAUUUUGUUCUGUUAUUCGUUUUUUUUUAUUCAGUUAAUAGAGUUUGAGUUUUUGUUUUAAACUCCUUGCCUCUGUCAGCAUUUGGCUCCAUUCUACAUAAACACCCCCCACCUCCACAGUUUUCUAUAUAAAACACUGUUGCUGUAAUACUUUACUAUUCAGUGUUUUUCUCCUGUUUAGUAACAUGUUGGUUGACGUCACACCUCUGAACCAGUCUGAGUCRAUCACAGAGAGGUGUU